CACGUAGGGUGCGAGCGUUGUCCGGAAUUACUGGGCGUAAAGGGGUUCGUAGGUGGCCACCUAAGUCAGCACGUGAAAUCCCUCAGCUUAAACUCGGGGAACUGCGUUCUGGAUACUGGGUGGCUUGAGUGCAGGGAGAGGAAUGCGGAAUUCCAGGUGGUAGCGGUGAAAUGCGUAGAUAUCUGGAAGGAACACCGGUGGCGAAGGCGGCGAUUCUGGGGCC
rnacentral:rRNA from 1 species